GGGAGGUAGCGUUACCUGGGCGUGGUUGUUCGACGCCGCAGGGUUGCACCAGAUUGGCUACACCAAGGUUUGAUCUGAGAGUGUUGAUUUAUGCAAUGCAGUUUUUGCACUGCCUCCUGCUGUUCUUUUAG